rnacentral:lncRNA from 1 species
ACCGCUCUCCAAGGACUCUCGAGCAGCUCCAUCUACAGAUUCACAUGGAGAAGAAUUAAGGGUUCCUGCCAAUCACCAGCACCACUUUGCCAGCCUUGUAAGUGGGCCACCUUGGAAUUGGAGCCUCCAGUUCCUACUGACAUCUGACUGCAACAUCAUGAGAGACCCUGAGUUUGAACCACCCAGCUGAGCUGCUUCUGAGCUAACCCACUGAAACCACAGUUGGCAUCUGUGUGAAGAUGUGAAUGGAGGAGGCAGAGUAGGCAGUGAGUGCCGCAGCCACAGCUUGUGUUCUCUGCAGCCCUGGCACAGAAGAUAGGAACACUCAUGGGGGAUGCGGCCACUGUGAUGUCUUCCCACACAAGAAGUGCCAAGUGCUUUUCUCAUGCUUUUCUGGAUUGUCCCAUGGUGGACGAGUCAGCAGGAGUGAGAUGGAGCAGCACAGUAGAGGGGCCAGGAUAUCGUUGUACAUAUUCUCAGCUAAGUGAGCACCAAUAGAGGAGAGGGAGAGUCUCAUGGAAGUUCCUUCUAAGCCUUUGGCUCUUUUUACCUUCAACAAGGUUCCUUAGAUCCUGGGAUGAGGAGGUGGACCAGCAGAAGGUGGGCUUGUGAAGGCAGCCCGGGGUCCAAAUCCUCCUGGCUCUUCAGCUUAGCGGGGUUGCUUAGACUCAGUGGUGUGCUGGAGCAGGCUCCUACCAGCUAGAAAGAACCAGUUCAAUACGUCUCUUCUCAACUCCAUGUUCAGAGUUGUCAGAGAACCAAUUGUUAAAUAUUUACUGGCACUCCA